rnacentral:lncRNA from 1 species
CUUGGCUUUCCCAUCUCUUUCCACUACAUACUUGUCUUCCCAGCUUUCCUUGAACUAGGGGAGUCUGCCAGGAGGUUUCUGGGGAAGUUUUGCUUUUGGAUAAAAGAAACAAGGGCACUGAGGAAAACCUCUUCUCCUCCUGCCUCCAGCUUCAGACACGUAAGUGCAGACAUGAUAGCUGAAGCUGGGACAGCCAGUUUGGGUUAUAAUGGGGCAAAUACAAGGACCAAAGACAACGCAGUGAGGAGGGCAGAGAGGAAGGAAGGGAAGAGAGUGGGAUCUGGCUGACAUUGAUGAUCAUCGUUGUAGCGCUGUUUUAAGCCCAUCAUUUCACUCAUCCAACAAAUGCUUAUUGAGCAUUUCUUCUGUGCCAGUCACCAUGUGAGACAUUGUGAGACAAACAAGGCUGAACAAACUACCCAGGUCCCAGAACUCACGGAGUUUAUAGUCUGGUGGGGCAGCCAGACACCACAAUUCACACCAGCAACUAUCUGAUCAGAGCGAUGACGAGAACUGCAAAGCCAAAUCCAGUGUGCCGUGGAAGCACCGGAAGUCCAGGGAGGGCCAAGUCCACCCAGCAUCACCACACCAAAGAGCAGCUCUUUAGAGUCCUGCUAAAGCUCAAAAACAUGAAACCACAACGAGGAUUUCUUGCGUGCUUGCUCUGGACCCAGCACUGUUCUAAGCACUCAUGGAUCCUUCCAUUUGAUCCUCACAACAGCCAUGUCUUCCUCUGCCUCUAACUGAGGCUCUGCUACGUGCCAUGUCCCUGACCCACCAAUGCACCUCUACUACAGUCAUCUUAGGAGAUGAUUAAUGUUAUCCCCAUUAGAGAACCCCAGAAGAAGAUUUUUUGUUUGUUUUUUGUUUUUUUGUUUUGUUUUGUUUUUUUGAGAUAGAGUCUUGUUCUGCUGCCCAAGCUGGAGUGGCAGUGGCAUGAUCUCAGCUUAAUGCAACCUCUACCUCCCAGGUUCAAGUGAGUCUCAUGCCUCAGCCUCCCAAGUAGCUGGAAUUACAGGCGUGUGCCAUCAUGCCUGGCUAAUUUUUGUAUUUUUAGUAGAGACGGGGUUUUGCCAUGUUGGCCAGGCUGGUCUCGAACUCCUAAUCUCAAGUUAUCUGCCCGCCUCAGCCUCCCAAAGUGCUGGGAUUACAGGCAUGAGCCACUGCACCCAGCCUGGGAGAGGGGUUUUGUUUCCUCAGAGCACUUGUUUCUUUUCUCAGAAAGCAAAUUUUUCUUUUCUUUCUUUCUUUUUUUUUCUGGAGCCUUCCAGCAGACUUCAGUAGCUCAUUUUACAGAUAAAACAUGUGAAGCUCAGAGAGGGGUAAUGAUUUGACUCACAAGACCACACAGUUUUUUGUUUUGUUUUUUUUUUAAAUAAGUAGAUCUAGGAUGCUAACCCAGGUGUAUUUUAUCAAAAAUAUCAAAUCAGGGUCUUUCAGCCACUCUCACACACAUACACAUAGGCACACAUCCACUGCAGUGAAUGUUCCACUGCCCCAGGACAAAAGUGCUCAUUUUUUGUGGAUGUACUGCAAGGUCACUGGAGUUCUCCUUUCUCUGUCCAGCCAUAUCUGUGGCCUAGAGCAGAGGGCCAGCAACAGCUGGAUUGUGUCAAGUCUCGAGUCAGAUGACAUUUUGUUUGUUUGUGUUUUUUUUUUUUAAUCUUGAACCUUAGUUUUUUCUUCUGUCCUUGGAGAUUACAAUAUUAUUUAUCUCAGACAGCCGUUUGGAAAAUGAAACAGCUGUCUGAGAGAUAAUAGUAGAACAUUCACUAACCCAUUCAUCCAUCCAUUCACCCACCUACCUGUCGAUAGAAGCAACCAUUCUAAUAAUUGCUGAAUGUUUGCUAUAUAAUGAGUAUGACACAGGAGCAGAGAUGAAGAGACAUGAGGACAUCCUACAAGGUGCAGAGACGUGGGAGACAGUGAAAGGCUGUCAGGUUAUAUUAUUGUAUCAUCCUUUAAGAGACACUGUGGGGCCUUCUGUUCACCCCUAGCUUAGCCUUAUGACCUGGGCUGUCCUUCCCCAGAAGCUGUCUGGCCCCUUUGAGAGACAAUGUCUUCCCCUAGCCACAGGUUCAACCAAGUCAUCCAUUGGCAUCUAUACUCCAGGUCUUAAAAUUGUGGAUUAAGGGUGGCCUCACCCUUAAUCUCCUCUAUGCUAUCUCCUCUAAUCUCCCCGCUCUCUGGGAGAUAGGUCCUGUUGUUAUCUUCAUUUUACAGAUGAGGAAAUAGGUUCAGAGAGGGGAAAUGUCUUGCCCAAGGUCACACAGCUGGUGUGUGGGAUGGGUUCCCAGGCUGUUGGUUUCUUCAGCCUCUGCCAUUUCCAGUGCAUCACAUAUUCCUGUUUGAUGGGGGUCAAAGCAAAGAAGAUUCUCCCUGACUAGAGUCAGGAGAUCAGGCCCUGAUUCUGUCAUUCCCUGGCCCUCUGUCCUCAGCAAUUGAUGACAUAAAUGUUGAUUGUGUCUUUGCAAUGCACGUGGUAUCAAGGGCUUUACACCCUUGUUCCCCACGGCAUCCACCAUGAUCUUAAGACACAUCCUAGUCCUGUCUCCACUUCAGAAAGAAAGCAAGAGGCACGUGAAUGUUGAGCCGUGUGACAGAGUCACAACUAGACCCCGAGGUCUACUGGAUUCCAGAGACCAAGUUCUGUGCGGGUGUGUGAUUUGAACAGGUUUAUAAAAGGCACCCAACUUUUAAAAAAUCCAAAAUGUGUCCCCAAAAGAUAAAACAAACAUUCUCUUGAAUUUCCCUCCUCAGAAACAAACCUGUCACCAAUUUUAUUGUGUCAUUCCAUGAAUUUUCUAUGCGUGGAAUGUACACGUAUACGCGUGUGUACAUAUAUACAUCUAUAUCCGUUUCGCUAUCAGCAACUACACAGUUCUUCAGUGUACCGUUUUCACUUAAUUUAACUGAGAGGUUCUUCCCUGUCACACACAGAUGUGCGUUGUUUCCUUGAACAAUGGGAUAGCAUUCCACUGUAAAGACGUCUCACGCUUUAUUUACCCGUCUUCCCUCUGCUGAGGGACAUUGGGUUGCUUCCAAUGUGGGGGUCACCCUAAGGAGUGAGCCUGAGCCUUUCACUCUCAGUAACACAUGCUUUCUAGCCCUGCAUCUGAGUUUCACACGUCCGCACAAGAUAUUCUCAUUUUCCAACGCUCCACCCUGCGCGGCGCUUUCUACCUCCUCCCCAUUAUCCAGAGCCAACGGGAGCGACAGAGCUGCCCGGUCCCACGCCCAGCUUGAUAAUGCACCAGCAACGUGACCUAGGCCCAGCAAGCCUCUCUUGGUGGACCUCAAUUUGCCCCGCAUCGAAACAGGACGGUGCUUCCAAGCCCCACCCUCUGUGGGGUUUUGGAAAGACCCCUGAGAUGCAUUCCCAGGAAGGCCUCUGGACAGACAAAAUGAGCCAAGCCUCUGCCCCAGGGCUUCUCGGCCCCUCCCAGCACUUCUCGCACCAAGCAGGCCAUGCCCCGGCUUGGGAGCUUAGGGAAGCAGUCACAUUGCCUCCGUGGGGCUUCCUGCCCUUCCAGAGGAGCUCCAGGAGUCGCUUUGGGCCCGUAAGAAACACACGGGGAGGUGUCCCAUGGCCUCCCAAAGCUGACCGCAGUCCCGCCCUGUCCAGUCUUCCCCCAGCCCCACUUACCGUAAGAACUCUCCACUGGAGCCCCGAGGGGCGCGUUCACGCUGACCAUGGCCAAGCCCACCCAGCCGGAGAGCUGGGGGCAUGGAGGAGCAGGGGCCCGCUCACAGCAGCAGCACAGCCACCAGGAGCCCGUCCACCAGGAAGGCGUUCUGAGAGCCGAGGAAGCAGGAAGGAGCUGUGAGAGACUGAGCUCUAACCUUGGCCAUCAAAGACAAGCUGUGCAGCUCUGGUUUUUUGAGGGCAGGACAUGGAGGGUCAGGCCCAGCUGGAGGCGCACCAAAGCCCAGAGAAAAUUCAGAACCACGUGAGCUUGUUGGAUUUCAGCCCCUUGAAGCACAUGUUGCUAUUGCAGCUGCCUUGAUAACUGGGGGGACAGGAGGAGCACGGCUUUCCCAUCUUGUACGGGGACUCGCCAAUCCAGUUGCCCCUGGAAGAGAAAAGGACCCAGGGAGACAGAGGAGCAUUAGGCUACUAAUGACUUCAAGAACAUCAGAAUAAUACAAUAGAAAGAAUUUGGAAUUUGGAAUCAAAAGACUGAUUCUUCUGAACCAGCUCUACUACUUGUUGGCUUUGUGACAUUUGGUAAAUUACUCAACCUGCCUGAGCCUCAAUUUCUUAAUUUGUAAAAAGAAUGUCCUCCUAGGGUUCCCCCCUUUUUCCUUCUUUCUUUCAUCUCUUCAAUGAGAUAGUGUGAAAGUAGUUUGUAAAUGAUUAAAGGCUACGUGACAGUAAAAUGAGGUUAUUAUAUAAUUUUGGAAUUCUAGGGCAGGCACGGUGGGUGGCUCACACCUAUAAUCCCAGCACUUUGGGAGUCCAAGUAGGGAGAUUGCUUGAGGCCAGGAGUUCAAGACCAGCCUAGGCAACAUAAUGAGCCCCCCAUCUCUACAAAAAUGUUAAAAAUUAGCCAGGUGUAAUGGUGCAUGCCUGUACUUCCAGCUACUCAGGAGGGUGAGGCGGGAGGAUUGCUUGAACCCUGGAGUUUGAGGCUGCAGUGAGCUAUGAUCUGGCUAUUGCACUCCAGCCUGGGCAACAGAGCAAGACCUCGUCC